GGUGAUGUAGCUCAGUUGGAAGAGCGUGCCCCUCAUAAGGGCGAGGCCCCCGGGUCGGUUCCGGGCAUCACCA
rnacentral:tRNA from 1 species